AUUGAACGCUGGCGGCAGGCCUAACACAUGCAAGUCGAGCGGCAGCACUUCGGGUGGCGAGCGGCGGACGGGUGAGUAACACGUAGGAAUCUACCUAGUAGUGGGGGAUAGCCCGGGGAAACUCGGAUUAAUACCGCAUACGCUCUACGGAGGAAAGGGGGCUUUGGCUCUCGCUAUUAGAUGAGCCUGCGUCGGAUUAGCUAGUUGGUGAGGUAAAGGCUCACCAAGGCGACGAUCCGUAACUGGUCUGAGAGGAUGAUCAGUCACACUGGAACUGAGACACGGUCCAGACUCCUACGGGAGGCAGCAGUGGGGAAUAUUGGACAAUGGGGGAAACCCUGAUCCAGCCAUGCCGCGUGUGUGAAGAAGGCCUCGGUUGUAAG
rnacentral:rRNA from 1 species